CCUAUCACUGACUGACUUAGAGAAUAAUCAACCUGGGCCUAACUCUCAUAGCAUAUGAGUCUGCCAAGAAGGUUUUAACCAUGGAUGGUGUGCUGAAUGAAUACUAGUCUAGAUGUGAAAUCAUAGUUGGUUCUGAUUGGAACUUGCUAACCUGAUUAGAGGAAAGAAAAAGAUGAAGAAAACCACUCAAGAUGGAAACAGAAACCAGCGCUGGAAUGAGCCCACAGAUGCACUGAAAGGAUGAUGGGAGCAGGGGAAGGGGAUGGGCAAUCAUCUCCAGAUCUUGUAACGGGAAUUCUGCUCUCCCUUUUUCUUCCCUGCCUCUGUCCUUAUUGUCAGAACUCAAGGUGAUCUCUGUCACUCUCCACCUUCCCUCAAUACAACUGUCAUGCUGCCUGACAAUCG